AAAAUAGACUUAUUUCUGACGGCC
rnacentral:miRNA from 1 species